rnacentral:rRNA from 1 species
GAUGAACGCUGGCGGCGUGCCUAAUACAUGCAAGUCGAGCGAACGGACGAGAAGCUUGCUUCUCUGAUGUUAGCGGCGGACGGGUGAGUAACACGUGGAUAACCUACCUAUAAGACUGGGAUAACUUCGGGAAACCGGAGCUAAUACCGGAUAAUAUUUUGAACCGCAUGGUUCAAAAGUGAAAGACGGUCUUGCUGUCACUUAUAGAUGGAUCCGCGCUGCAUUAGCUAGUUGGUAAGGUAACGGCUUACCAAGGCAACGAUGCAUAGCCGACCUGAGAGGGUGAUCGGCCACAAUGGAACUGAGACACGGUCCAGACUCAUACGGGAGGCAGCAGUAGGGAAUCUUCCGCAAUGGUCGAAAGCCUGACGGAGCAACGCCGCGUGAGUGAUGAAGGUCUUCGGAUCGUAAAACUCUGUUAUUAGGGAAGAACAUAUGUGUAAGUAACUGUGCACAUCUUGACGGUACCUAAUCAGAAAACCACGGCUAACUACGU